ACUCAAUUGUCAAACGAACCAGACGGAUUGUGAGGAAACUUGCAUCAGAAUGGUAGGUUUUCAGUCAAGUCCUUAUAUGAGGCGACUGCCCACAUCAAUGUUCUUGUUGAUAAUAAUAAACAUUUGAAUCUCAAACUACCUCUUCGAGUGAAGAUAUUCCUUUGGCUUUUAAACAAAGGUCUGAUCUUGACUAUGGAUAAGCUGGCACACAACAAUUGGCAAGGUAACUUGACAUGUGUCCUUUGGCAACACGCUGAGUCUAUUAAACACCUUUUUUUGUGUAAUUUUGCUCGUGUAGUGUGCCCCCCUGGUUGCAGUGUGUGUAAUAUGUUCAACAACUGGUUGCAGGGUACAACACAUUCUUGUGGGAGCAGCAGCCUUAUGUUGGGUUAUGUGGCUUACCAGGAACUAUGUGGUUUCUAA
rnacentral:rRNA from 1 species